rnacentral:rRNA from 1 species
GUGUCAGCCGCCGCGGUAAUACAGAGGGUGCGAGCGUUGUCCGGAAUCACUGGGCGUAAAGGGCGCGUAGGCGGUCCGGUAAGCGCGUGGUGAAAGCUCGGGGCUCAACCCCGAGUCGGCCAUGCGAACUGCGGGACUGGAGCAGAUCAGAGGCAGGCGGAAUUCCGGGUGUAGCGGUGGAAUGCGUAGAGAUCCGGAAGAACACCGGUGGCGAAGGCGGCCUGCUGGGAUCUUGCUGACGCUGAGGCGCGACAGCGUGGGGAGCAAACAGGAUUAGAUACCCUUGUAGUCC